rnacentral:rRNA from 1 species
UACGAAGGGGGCUAGCGUUGCUCGGAAUCACUGGGCGUAAAGGGUGCGUAGGCGGGUCUUUAAGUCCGGGGUGAAAUCCUGGAGCUCAACUCCAGAACUGCCUUUGAUACUGAGGAUCUUGAGUUCGGGAGAGGUGAGUGGAACUGCGAGUGUAGAGGUGAAAUUCGUAGAUAUCUGGAGGAACACCGGUGGCGAAGGCGGCAUCCUGGACCGACACUGACGCUGAGGAGCGAAAGCCAGGGGAGCAAACGGG